AGGAAGAAGAUUCUAAGGCCAACGGGAGAAGGGUUGUUAAGGAACUCGGCAAAUUGACCCCGUAACUUCGGGAGAAGGGGUGCUCCAGAGAUGGAGCCGCAGAGAAUCGGCCCAAGCAACUGUUUACCAAAAACACAGGUUUGUGCUAAAUCGAAAGAUGACGUAUACGAGCUGACGCCUGCCCGGUGCUGGAAGGUUAAGAGGAGAUGUGCAAGCAUUGAAUCGAAGCCCCAGUGAACGGCGGCCGUAACUAUAACGGUCCUAAGGUAGCGAAAUUCCUUGUCAGGUAAGUUCUGACCCGCAUGAAAGGCGUAAUGAUUUGGGCACUGUCUCGACAGCCCGCCCGGCGAAAUUGUAGUACCGGUGAAGAUGCCGGUUACCCGCGACAAGACGGAAAGACCCCAUGGAGCUUUACUGUAGCCUAAUAUUGGGUUUCGAUGUUGCAUGCACAGGAUAGAUGGGACACUGGGAAACAAGUGCCUUGGCAUUUGUGGAGUGGCCGUUGGGAUACCAUCCUUGCGAUAUUGGAAUUCUAACCUGCGCCUUUGAAUCAAGGCGGGGGACAUUGUUAGGUGGGCAGUUUGACUGGGGCGGUCGCCUCCUAAAGAGUAACGGAGGCGUUCGAAGGUUCGCUCAGCUUGAACGGAAAUCAAGCAAAAGAGUGCAAACGCAGAAGCGAGCCUAACUGCGAGACUGACGGGUCGAGCAGUAACGAAAGUUGGAGUUAGUGAUCCGGUGGUAUGUGAGUGGAAAUGCCAUCGCUCAACGGAUAAAAGUUACCCUGGGGAUAACAGGCUGAUCUCCCCCAAGAGUCCACAUCGACGGGGAGGUUUGGCACCACGAUGUCGGCUCAUCGCAUCCUGGGGCUGUAUUCGGUCCCAAGGGUUUGGCUGUUCGCCAAUUAAAGCGGUACGCGAGCUGGGUUCAGAACGUCGUGAGACAGUUCGGUCCCUAUCUGUCGUGGGCGCAGGAUAUUUGAUGGGAGCUGUUCCUAGUACGAGAGGACCGGAGCGGACGUACCUCUGCGCACCAGUUGUUCUGCCAAGGGCAUAGCUGGGCAACUAUGUACGGAUCGGAUAAACGCUGAAAGCAUCUAAGCGUGAAGCCGACCCAAAGAUAAGAUAUCCCAUUGUUUCAAACAAGUAAGACCCCUUGAAGACUACAAGGUUGAUAGGCAUGAUGUGUAAGUGGAGUGAUCCAUUCAGCAAGCGUGUACUAAUAGGUCGAGGGCUUGACC
rnacentral:rRNA from 1 species